rnacentral:rRNA from 1 species
UACAGAGGUGGCAAGCGUUGUUCGGAAUUACUGGGCGUAAAGGGCGCGUAGGCGGCCAUCUAAGUCAGACGUGAAAUCCCCCGGCUUAACCUGGGAACUGCGUCUGAUACUGGACGGCUGGAGUUUGGGAGAGGGAUGUAGAAUUCCAGGUGUAGCGGUGAAAUGCGUAGAUAUCUGGAGGAACACCGGUGGCGAAGGCGGCAUCCUGGACCAACACUGACGCUGAGGAGCGAAAGCCAGGGGAGCAAACGGG